rnacentral:rRNA from 1 species
CACGUAGGCACCAAGCGUUGUCCGGAUUUAUUGGGCGUAAAGAGCUCGUAGGCGGUUGAGUAAGUCGGGUGUGAAAACUCUGGGCUUAACCCAGAGCCGCCACUCGAUACUGCUCUGACUUGAGUUCGGUAGGGGAGCAGGGAAUUCCUAGUGUAGCGAUGAAAUGCGCAGAUAUUAGGAGGAACACCGGUGGCGAAGGCGCUGCUCUGGGCCGAAACUGACGCUGAGGAGCGAAAGCGUGGGGAGCGAACAGG